UGAAUGAAAGAGGAGAGGGUUUGUGAUCGGCAACAAGAGACAGUGAUCGGCGAUCACCAAUCAUACACCUUUUCACGGAAAUCAGCCGAUUAUGAUCGGUGGCCGAUUGAUUGGCACACUUCUAGAUGAAACCCAUAUGAAUCA